GCUCAGAACGAACGCUGGCGGCGUGCCUAACACAUGCAAGUCCAACGUGAAAGGGGAGCAAUCCCCCGGUAGGGUGGCGAACGGGUGAGUAAUACAUGGGAAUCUGUCCUGGAGAUGGGGAUAUCCUUCCGAAAGGAGGGUUAAUACCGAAUAUCGUCCGGGUGACGGGAGUCACUUGGGGAAAGGGAGGCCUCUGGCAACAUGCUUCCGCUCCGGGAGGAGCCCAUGGCCCAUCAGCUAGUUGGUAGGGUAACGGCCUACCAAGGCAAAGACGGGUAGCUGGUCUGAGAGGACGAUCAGCCACACUGGCACUGAGACACGGGCCAGACUCCUACGGGAGGCAGCAGUGAGGAAUUUUGCGCAAUGGGGGCAACCCUGACGCAGCAACGCCGCGUGUGGGAAGAAGGCUUUCGGGUUGUAAACCACUUUUGUAAGGGACGAAGUCCUUUCGGUUAAUACCCGAGGGGGAUGACGGUACCUUGCGAAUAAGCCACGGCUAACUCUGUGCCAGCAGCCGCGGUAAGACAGGGGUGGCAAGCGUUGUUCGGAAUAACUGGGCGUAAAGGGUCUGUAGGUGGUUUUUCAAGUCUUUGGUAAAACGCCGUGGCUCAACCAUGGUUUGGCCAAGGAGACUGGGAGACUAGAGGCUGGGAGAGGGAAGCGGAAUUUCUGGUGUAGCGGUGAAAUGCGUAGAGAUCAGAAAGAAGGCCGGUGGCGAAGGCGGCUUCCUGGAACAGACCUGACACUGA
rnacentral:rRNA from 1 species